CUGAGCCGGCGUGAGCCUCACCCUCCUGCGCCGCUGAGCGCAGCUGCCUCACCCGCGUCCGUGCUCACCUGGGGGUGCUCCCCACAGGGGCCGCGGGACCACGGCGCCCACCCGGCGCCCCGCACACUCCCCGGAGGACGACCCAGCCGGCAAGGAGCCCAAAUGGAGAAACCCUGUUGCAUCUCAGUAAAACCCAGAGAGGGGGCCAGCUCCUCCCGGCUGCUUGGACAAGUCCCGGGCAGGCCCCCCUCAGACCCCGCAGACCCGCUGGGUCCUCCCGCUGCGUCCACCGCUGGGUGGAGGGUGGGUGCGGGGCCCAGGUCCGCCUCCCCAAGGGCGGGUGAGGAAGCUUUGCGCCACAUCUGCUUCUGCCCCUUGUGUCCUGGCAGUGACGAGCAGAGGGGAGGAGGCCUGGUGCUCCGAGGCCUGUGGCCCUGGGGGGGGGGGGAAGGGCGCCCCGUCCCCAGCUCCUGCUGCAAAACCGGUGUGAGGAGAAGAGGCACAGGCCUGGGGGAGGGUGUGUGCUUGGCACACGCUCCGGCACCCACUGUCCCUGGGCUCCCGCAGGCCCAGCGCCUCCCCGUGGGUCCAGGCCCCUCGUGGGCGGAGGGGAGCUCCGAAGUCACUGACACGGGGCGGGGGUGGGGGACACUCCUACAGGGGGUAGAGAGUUCCCACCUCAUGAAGUUCUGGGAACGACCGCAUGGCGGGCGACAGGUGUCAACAUUACAAGGACACACAGCCCUGCACACUCGAGGGGAUUGGGGUUUGCAUCCGCAGAGGCUUCGUGGAGGUGGCGCACUGCCUGGUGCCCGCUCUCGCCCCACCUGCCCCGCCAGCCGCCCCCCCAGUGGAGGGAAGAGCCUGCUCCUCCGGGACCCCAGCCCUCGCACUCCUGCCACCGUGAGCCCCCGUGGGACCCAGAGGCUGGGGGCUGUGUCCUGUCCUUUCCUCCGGCUGCAGGGGCGUCACCCUGUGGCUCCUGGACGGCCUGCGUGGUCCCAGCUUCCUGC
rnacentral:lncRNA from 1 species